rnacentral:rRNA from 1 species
GAGUUUGAUCAUGGCUCAGGACGAACGCUGGCUGCGUGCUUAACACAUGCAAGUCGAACGCUGAAGCCUGGUGCUUGCACCGGGUGGAUGAGUGGCGAACGGGUGAGUAACACGUGAGUAACCUGCCCCCGACUUCGGGAUAAGCCCGGGAAACUGGGUCUAAUACCGGAUAUGAGCGUUCCUCGCAUGAGGGAUGCUGGAAAGUCUUUUCGGUUGGGGAUGGGCUCGCGGCCUAUCAGUUUGUUGGUGAGGUAAUGGCUCACCAAGACGACGACGGGUAGCCGGCCUGAGAGGGCGACCGGCCACACUGGGACUGAGACACGGCCCAGACCCCUACGGGAGGCAGCAGUGGGGAAUAUUGCACAAUGGGGGAAACCCUGAUGCAGCGACGCAGCGUGCGGGAUGACGGCCUUCGGGUUGUAAACCGCUUUCAGCAGGGAAGAAGCCUUUCGGGGUGACGGUACCUGCAGAAGAAGUACCGGCUAACUACGUGCCAGCAGCCGCGGUAAUACGUAGGGUACAAGCGUUGUCCGGAAUUAUUGGGCGUAAAGAGCUCGUAGGUGGUUGGUCACGUCUGCUGUGGAAACGCAACGCUUAACGUUGCGC